AUUGAACCCUGGCGGCAGGCCUAACACAUGCAAGUCGAACGGUAACAGGAAGCAGCUUGCUGCUUGCUGACGAGUGGCGGACGGGUGAGUAAUGUCUGGGAAACUGCCUGAUGGAGGGGGAUAACUACUGGAAACGGUAGCUAAUACCGCAUAACGUCGCAAGACCAAAGAGGGGGACCUUCGGGCCUCUUGCCAUCGGAUGUGCCCAGAUGGGAUUAGCUAGUAGGUGGGGUAACGGCUCACCUAGGCGACGAUCCCUAGCUGGUCUGAGAGGAUGACCAGCCACACUGGAACUGAGACACGGUCCAGACUCCUACGGGAGGCAGCAGUGGGGAAUAUUGCACAAUGGGCGCAAGCCUGAUGCAGCCAUGCCGCGUGUAUGAAGAAGGCCUUUCGGGUUGUAAAGUACUUUUCAGCGGGGAGGAAGGCGAUAAGGUUAAUAACCUUGUCGAUUGACGUUACCCGCGAAGAUCACCGCUACA
rnacentral:rRNA from 1 species